rnacentral:snRNA from 1 species
GGAUGUGAGGGUGAUCUGGCUGCGACAUCUGUCACCUCAUUGAUUGCUAGUGUUGAUUGGGCUGAUCUGACUGGCUAGGCGGGUUUCUCCUUCCUCCCUCCAUGUGCGUCCCUCCCAAAGCUGUGUCCUUGGUGGAAGAGGCCAACCCUCUGUGCUAGAGGAGGAUGGGUCUUCGGUCAAGGGGAUAUGAGUGGCUGUGCUCCCCUGCUACAGCCUCCAAAUAGGCUCUUAAGUGUUAACCUCUCACCACAACCCUGUGGGUCAGGUGUACCAUAAUCCCCAUUUUACAAGUGAGGAGACUUGUG